rnacentral:rRNA from 1 species
UACAUAGGGUGCAAGCGUUAAUCGGAAUUACUGGGCGUAAAGCGUGCGCAGGCGGUGAUGUAAGACAGAUGUGAAAUCCCCGGGCUCAACCUGGGAACUGCAUUUGUGACUGCAUCGCUGGAGCGCGGCAGAGGGGGAUGGAAUUCCGCGUGCAGCAGUGAAAUGCGUAGAUAUGCGGAGGAACACCGAUGGCGAAGGCAAUCCCCUGGGCCUGCACUGACGCUCAUGCACGAAAGCGUGGGGAGCAAACAGG